rnacentral:rRNA from 1 species
CGAACGCUGGCGGCGUGCCUAAUACAUGCAAGUCGAGCGGACAGAUGGGAGCUUGCUCCCUGAUGUUAGCGGCGGACGGGUGAGUAACACGUGGGUAACCUGCCUGUAAGACUGGGAUAACUCCGGGAAACCGGGGCUAAUACCGGAUGCUUGUUUGAACCGCAUGGUUCAAACAUAAAAGGUGGCUUCGGCUACCACUUACAGAUGGACCCGCGGCGCAUUAGCUAGUUGGUGAGGUAACGGCUCACCAAGGCAACGAUGCGUAGCCGACCUGAGAGGGUGAUCGGCCACACUGGGACUGAGACACGGCCCAGACUCCUACGGGAGGCAGCAGUAGGGAAUCUUCCGCAAUGGACGAAAGUCUGACGGAGCAACGCCGCGUGAGUGAUGAAGGUUUUCGGAUCGUAAAGCUCUGUUGUUAGGGAAGAACAAGUACCGUUCGAAUAGGGCGGUACCUUGACGGUACCUAACCAGAAAGCCACGGCUAACUACGUGCCAGCAGCCGCGGUAAUACGUAGGUGGCAAGCGUUGUCCGGAAUUAUUGGGCGUAAAGGGCUCGCAGGCGGUUCCUUAAGUCUGAUGUGAAAGCCCCCGGCUCAACCGGGGAGGGUCAUUGGAAACUGGGGAACUUGAGUGCAGAAGAGGAGAGUGGAAUUCCACGUGUAGCGGUGAAAUGCGUAGAGAUGUGGAGGAACACCAGUGGCGAAGGCGACUCUCUGGUCUGUAACUGACGCUGAGGAGCGAAAGCGUGGGGAGG